CCGUCUGGGGGCCAGGGUUCCCUCACCGGGGCGUUUGAAAAAUGAGUCUCCUCUCCCCAGCUGCUACUGUGGAGCAUAUGAUUCCAAUGCCUGAGAGAUUAUUUGUCCCACAACAAAUGAACGAAAGAGCAGAAGAAGGCUUCCGCACAAGUGCCAAGAGCCUCAGAGAAGCAAUGGCCUGAGCUCAUGAAGACAAAGGCCCACUGGUGCCGUCACGAGUUGAGUUCAAGAAAUUGACCCAGAAUGUCAGGACGUCCCCAGGAAGAACGCUGAGGGCACAGACGCCCCAGGGGGAGGCCCCUCCGUACCUUCCCGACCGCGCUGGUCCCCUUGUCAAGCUUCCAUCUUGGGGCCUGAAACCUUGAACACCAAUGAAAGAACGCACCUGUGUUUCCAAGAGGCUGGUGACCUUCAGAGUUCUUUUUCCGGGGGGAAGAAAUUUAAUUUAAUCUCGUCUCCUCGUAUUUGUUCAUGUUAGAUUACAUUAAAGUGCAACCCAGAACCUUAAGAUCUUCUCCAGAUGUCUCCUCAUCCGAGAAGCCCACCUUGACUUCUCUAGGCCAAAAGAUGGCUCCCUCCUCCAUCACAUGUGAGCUGUGAACAGCCUUUCUCAGAAAACUCACCCAUGGCUGAGUCCCCGUGUAGACUGGGAGCCCCCUGCCUGUCACGCACGGUGGACAGAGUGUCCCCCAGGCUGCUCUCGUGGUCGGUGUUUAUUAACAGACGCUUACUGAUGAA